UACGAAGGGGGCUAGCGUUGUUCGGAAUCACUGGGCGUAAAGCGCACGUAGGCGGAUCUUUAAGUCAGAGGUGAAAUCCCAAGGCUCAACCUUGGAACUGCCUUUGAUACUGGGGAUCUUGAGUCCGGGAGAGGUGAGUGGAACUGCGAGUGUAAGAGGUGAAAUUCGUAGAUAUUCGCAAGAACACCAGUGGCGAAGGCGGCUCACUGGCCCGGUACUGACGCUGAGGUGACGAAAGCGUGGGGAGCAAACAGG
rnacentral:rRNA from 1 species